rnacentral:rRNA from 1 species
AGAACGACUCUCGGCAACGGAUAUCUCGGCUCUCGCAUCGAUGAAGAACGUAGCGAAAUGCGAUACUUGGUGUGAAUUGCAGAAUCCCGUGAACCAUUGAGUCUUUGAACGCAAGUUGCGCCCGAAGCCUUCUGGCCGAGGGCACGUCUGUCUGGGCGUCACGC